rnacentral:lncRNA from 10 species
CAGCCUUUACACACGCACACACAUACACACACCUCUUGUCUGACUGUACAGAGAUAGUCGACAAGCUUUCAGGUUUGCCCACUUUUAUUGUGCUAAUAAUGCUAAGUGUGGAAACCCCCACCUCGUGCUGUUCUGUGUAAGUGUACCGCAACUGCAGGGUGCUCGCCUCCACUGCCAACUGAUGAUACACUAAAGAAAGCCCGUUUUUUAUCCAGAUGUAAAAUGAAGCUGCACCCCUCCUAUACCUGCCGGAAACUACAUCUCUCUGCACACACCCUGGGGUAAUACGCACUGCACCCGGCGAGUUACCUGGAAUACGUUUACUAAAUCGACAGGAAGAAGGAAAGAUCAAUGCGAUUCAAGUGCUGACGGUUGUACUCGUGAAGGAAAAAAACAAAUGCAAGCCGGGAAGUCCCCAGUGGUGCCUGCACCUAGGAGGCGACUGCAACGGAUGGAUGCGGGGGUAGAUAAUCAGCAACCCCCCAAGACUGUGCCUGCUGCACAACUACAGAACGCAGUGGAAGACACGCUGAAUUCUGAGUCAGAAGGUUGACUUUCUAGCUGUGGGGACUUGGCCAAACCUCCUCAGAGCUUCAGUUUUCUCAUCUGUAAAAUAGAGAUCUUAAUCCCUACCAAUCUCACAGGACUGCUGAGAGUAUCAGAUGAGGUAAGUAUAUAAAAUAGCUGUGCAAAUUUGUGUGAAGGCCUCCAGAGAGAAAUAGUGCAUGCAGGUGGCAUUAGAAACAUAGAUUCUAGUCCUGGCUUUGCAACCAAAUUAUUAUGUAAUUUUUUGUCUUGAUCAUCUUGUCUCUUACGAUUUCUUCAUAAGUUAAAUGAAAAGACACCUUUCAGCCCUGACCACUCCCAAACCUUCAGGACCCCCACUGGGUUGUGAGAUAGGAGCAGCCACAGGCAAGGUCACCCAGGACAGGAGUUAGAGCUGAAUCGUGCAAUAUGAGUGAGGUGUUCCUCUCAGCUUCAAAACCAGCUCUGGGUUGUAAACAAGCUACCACUUCCUCUAUCCCUCUGAAGUAACAUCAAAGUUGGGGUGCAGGAUGGAAGACAGUACCAUAUCCCCCUCUGUCCCAUCUUGCAUGGCCUUGCUCGGAUGCUGCCCAGCAUCAUGACGAAAAUCAACAUGCACGGAAAUGUAAUGAUAGACUCACAGCUGUGUAUAAAACAGUCUUAAGCCUGUUGUCAGACUUUAAACUGCCCUCCUCUGUCCUACUGCCCAUCUUAGGCCACUGGAGAUGGAGGUAGAGGACAAACACACAGAGGUCACAGUGUCCUACAUUUUUAUCCAGGUGGAGUCAUGUUUAAAAUAGCAGCAAGGACAGCCACGAAGAGGAAAAAACUCCCCAAAGCCUAAUUUGACUUCUUUCUGUUCUUUCUCUUCCUGUGGCCUUCUCACAUGCUCACCUCCUGGCUGGCCAACUUCUAUUCAGCCUUCAGGUUUCAGAGCAGCCUCCUUAGGCACCUAGGCUAGGUUACAGCCCUCACUCUAAGGCUCUAGUCCCCUGUAGCCUUUGAUACUUCCUCUCUGGUCACUUGCUUAAUCUCCAUCUUCCUCUUAAUCUACAAGCAGCAGAAUGACAAAACCAGUCUAUCUCAUUCAAGUCUAGACGCCCAGUGCCCAGCAUACUCUUGGCACAUGGUGGCACUCAAUGAUAUUUAUAGGAUGCAUGCAUUUAAAUGAAGGUGAGAAGUGACACCACCUUUGUCCUGGUGGCAAUGGUUGGUUAAGGGGCCAAUGUAGUUGAAUCUCAGAUCUUUUCUUACCACCAUCUGCUUCCCACCUCGUUUUCUCCCCCAAAGCAGGCCUCUCUGAGUCACGCAACCAGACCAGAGUCAUUAAAGCAGAAAAGGGACUUCCCUGCCCUUAGGAUGGUAAACAUUGUUCCCUCUUCCAUGUUACUUUGGCCAAAUAACUACCAUUGACCUCACCAGCUCAGGCAAAAUAGAAAUACCCGCCUGCCCCCAAAGAAAUAACUCCUUCUCCUGCUGUUGCCAAAAUCUACUUCAGUUAGGAAAGCGUCCAAGAUAAUUGAUGAGGUUUAAAAUACAAAUGCACCCAGAGCAUAGAAUAAGUAACUUAUAUUCUCACUCUUGAUUAAAUUAAAUCCAAAGAGGAGUUUCUGGAAAUAGCAGUAAGUUAUUUUGCAUAGCAGUGAUUUACAUUUGCAUAACAUUAUAACAGCAUUAUCUAUCUCAUUCCAUCGCACAGCAACCCUUUGAAGUGGGCCAAAGCGAGAAUUAUUGUCACCCCCAUUUUACAGACCUUAAGCAUUGAAAUUCAGAAAGGAAGACUAUUUGCUUUGCCUAAAGUUAAACAGGCUUGCUAACUUACUGUUAGUAAGGGAUAAAUUUGAACCCAGGCUCCCUUUUUCUGCCACAUCUGAUACCUCUCUUAGGAAGAGAAGAGCUGGUAUUUCAAGUCCUGGGUAUAGUGGAACAGCGGGAAUUAGGGCAGAAAGAAGGAAAGGGAGUGGCUGUAGGCCUCACCUCCUUCACAACUCAGCCCUGCCUUAACCAGCACUGUCUCCCUUCCUAGGUACCUAGCCUAGGUGAGAUGCUGUAUCUGCUUGACCCUCACGCCCUGAUUGGGACAAGUUAGCAGUAAUGUUACAGUUACAAAGCUCACAAGUCCAGUCCUGUUUUCUAUACUUUUCUAGGAGAUGAAUUUAGCGAGGGAUUUGGUUUCCAAUGUGUUUCAAAACCUGUGAGAGAGCGCAAGUUUUAGAAGGUCCCUCAGACAGGCACAGUGACUUAUGCCCUUAAUCCCAGCACUUACAGAGGCCAAGGCGGGAGGAUCGUUUGAACCCAGGAGUUCAAGACCAGCCUGGGCAAUGUGUCGAAACCCCACCUCUACAAAAAAUACAAAAAUGAGCCAGGCAUGGUAGCACAUGCCAGUAGUCCCAGCUACUUAGGAGGCUGAGUGGGGAGGAUCGCUUGAGCCCAGGAGGUCAGGGCUGCAGUGAGCUGAGAUCGCACCACUGCACUCCAGCCUGGGUGACAGAGAGAGACCCUGUCUCAAAAAAAAAAAAAAAAAAAGCCCUCAAGUUUUGGUUCCACUGUUUACCCUUGUCUGGCCUUCAUCCCUGCGUAACUCAACUUCCUGAACUUCUAGAUCAAGAAAGCAUUUAGACCUUUCUCACAAAGUGUGUGAAGCGGGAACCUAGAAGUUUCUUAUAAUUAUGUAGACCCAAGGACAAACCUCCUGACAUAAGACAAUGGGUUGCUGAGGGUCCCUAGGAAAUUACCUCUUUCCCUGGGAAUAUAGAGGAGUAGGACUCCCCCUCCUGGGUUUGAAGUGAAUGAGAGGAACUUAAGCUGAAGAUUAUUUGAAUAUCCCCGUGUAAUUACAUAUCAAGGCUUGUAUCUUCUUCCCUUGAGGCCUUUGCUGUACAUUCACUGGGGAUGCAUGCGUUAGGCACAGACGAGCCUGGGGAUGUGACCAAUCAGCUUGGACACAGCACAGUUGAAAUGUGAUGCUUUGUUUCAGCAGAUGCCUCUGCACUCUCUUAGGGCCAGCAAGACAGGGAAAGCAGACAGUCAGACUAGCUUUUUG